UUUAACAUUUUGAGUUUCUGGAGAAGGCUGAGCAAGCCCCAUGAUUUCUCCGCAUCUACUUUUCUUCCUUUUUAAAACGAAGUAUGUGGAGCAGAUUAU